GUAGUCUCGCACAGAUGCAUAUCAAUAAGCGGAGGAAAAGAAACUAACAAGGAUUCCCUCAGUAACGGCGAGUGAAGCGGGAAGAGCUCAAAUUUGAAAUCUUGAAAGGUCACCUUUCACGAAUUGUAGUUUAAAGAAGUGUUUUCUGUUACGAUCGUAAUAUAAGUUCUUUGGAAUAGGACAUCACAGAGGGUGAGAAUCCCGUCUAUGAUUGCGAUUUGUAGCUUUGUGAUACACUUUCAAAGAGUCGGGUUGUUUGGGAAUGCAGCCCAAAACGGGAGGUAAAUUUCUUCUAAGGCUAAAUAUUGGCGGAGAGACCGAUAGCGAACAAGUACCGUGAGGGAAAGAUGAAAAGAACUUUGAAAAGAGAGUUAAAUAGUACGUGAAAUUGUCAAAAGGGAAGCGUUUAACACCAGUGUUGUUUUCUGAAAAUCAACCUCUGUUAGCUUUAUGCAUGUUUGUUUAGACCUAAUCAGCUAUCUUGCAUGUUCUAUUGUUUGCAGUGGAUGCACUUUUCAGUUUACAGGUCAACAUCAGUUUUUUUUUACCGUAAAAAAGUUAAAGAAAGGUAGCUCAUGGCUCCGGUCGUGAGUGUUAUAGUCUUUUUCCUAUGCGGUAGGAGAGACUGAGGUCUGCAGUGUAGGCUAUUUGGCUAGAUACUCAGGUGCUAUGUGAUACCAUUUCAUAAACAACUUGUUGAUUAUGUUUUGUCUAUUGCAUACUCGCUUGUACUAUCAUACCUACGCUUAGGAUGUUGAGUCGUAGAGCACGCAG
rnacentral:rRNA from 1 species